rnacentral:rRNA from 1 species
AUGGCUCCGCGCCGCCUCCUGCUCCUGGCCGUGGCCGCCUCGCUCGGCGCAGCAGCUAGUGCUGCCGCCUCUGUUGACUACACACCGUAUGUCCGGGCUUCCGUCUGCUCGGACAGCAACUACACCGACGGCAGCCCGUACGAGGUCCAGCUCGACAACCUUCUCCACGACCUCCGGGACGGCGCAAUUGGGAAUGGCGGCUUCUUCCAGACCGACAAGGGCCACUGGCCCACCCAGGUAUACGGCCAGGCCAUGUGCUACGUCGACUGCGACUGGUCAAUGUGUGAGUUCUGCCUGCAGGUGGCGCCGUCCUACGUGAUGACCAAAGGAUGCCCGAACAACAAAAGGGGCGCCGUCAUGUAUGACUGCUGCUACCAACGCUACUCAGACGAGCAAUUCUUCGGCCACGCCGACUUCUUCGAACAUGGGAUGAACGCACAAGGUGGGAGCAACGGCGACGACGCGGUCCCCAUGAACAAGACAAUGUGGGAGCUGGUGACCGGGCUCAUAGCGGAGGCCGCGGGGUCGCCGCGGCGGAUAGCCAACGGGAGCCAGACGUACAUGGACUCGAGAGGUAACUCCCAGGUGAUGUACGGCCUGGUGCAGUGCGCCCUAGGCUUUUCGCCGAGAGAGUGCACCAACUGUCUUAACACCACACUGGCGAGCAUGCCCGGAAACGCCACCACCGCUAAGUUCAGGAGGUACGGCUGCUACAUCACCCACGCGCCCGAUCCCAUCGACGUUUCCACGCCUCGUCCGCAAUCUGCAGGAGGUCCGCGCCGCCCAAACCGACGGCUCGUCGUGGCGGUGUGCGCCGCUUCGGGUUCCGUCUUCCUGUUGAUCUGCAUCAGCAUCUCGGUACGGCUCCUUUUGCGCCGGCCAGAGAGAAGAACUAACUCUCCCAGGGUGUCUAUCGAAGACGAUAAGGCCAUGGAAGACGAGUUCAGGGAAGGGACCGGGCCCAGGCGAUUCCGCUACAGCGAGCUGGCAGCUGCCACGGGCAACUUCUCGGAAGUCAAGAAGCUCGGGGAAGGCGGGUUUGGCCCAGUGUACAGAGGGUUCCUCAAGGACCUGGGAAUCGAGGUGGCUAUCAAGAGAGUGUCCAAGGACUCUAAGCAGGGGAGGAAGGAGUACGCCUCCGAGGUGAGGGUAAUAAGCCGGCUUCGGCACCGUAAUCUCGUGCAGAUCAUUGGCUGGUGCCACGCCGGCGGCGAGCUCCUCCUAGUCUACGAGCUGAUGCCCAAGGGCAGUCUCGAUCUUCACCUUUACAGUGCGGACAAUGUCCUAUGGUGGCCAGUCAGGCAUAGGAUCGUGCUGGGGAUCGGCUCUGCGCUUCUCUACCUACACCAGGAGUGGGAGCAGUGCGUCCUGCACAGGGACAUCAAGACGAGCAAUGUGAUGCUGGACGCUUCGUUCAACGCCAAGCUCGGCGACUUCGGGCUCGCCAGGCUCGUCGACCACGACAGAGGGUCGCACACGACGGAGCUCGCCGGCACGCUGGGGUACAUGGACCCCGAGUGCACCGUCACCGGCAGAGCCAGCACCGAGUCGGAUGUCUACAGCUUCGGCGUUGUGUUACUUGAGAUCGCGUGCGGACGGAGGCCUACCACGGCUCGACCCAACGGCACGCUCAUCCACCUGGCACAGCGGGUGUCAGAGCUGCACGGGCAAGGGAGGAUACUUGACGCGGCCGACCCACGGCUGGAUGGCAACUUCGAUCUCCAAGAGAUGGAGCGCGUGCUGGUCGUCGGCCUCUGGUGCGCGUGCCACGACCAGAGCCUAAGGCCGUCCAUAAGGCAGGCUAUCAACGUGCUACGGCUGGAGGCGCCCCUCCCCGAGAGGAUGCCGCCGGUUGGCCAAGCGGCCGGCCCUCUUCCCAUGCCGGACUCCGAUAGUACGGGUCACAGCUCCAGCUCCACUCAACAGCUAAUAUGA